GUGGUCACCCUCCCAAGUACUGACCGGGCCCGAUUCUUGUCCAAUCACCGAAGUUAAGCAAUGUCGGGCCCGGUCAGUACUUGGGAGGGUGACCACCUGGGAACACCGGGUGCUGUAGACU